AUAAUGGGUCAGCGACUUAUAUUCUGUAGCAAGGUUAACCGAAUAGGGGAGCCGAAGGGAAACCGAGUCUUAACUGGGCGUUAAGUUGCAGGGUAUAGACCCGAAACCCGGUGAUCUAGCCAUGGGCAGGUUGAAGGUUGGGUAACACUAACUGGAGGACCGAACCGACUAAUGUUGAAAAAUUAGCGGAUGACUUGUGGCUGGGGGUGAAAGGCCAAUCAAACCGGGAGAUAGCUGGUUCUCCCCGAAAGCUAUUUAGGUAGCGCCUCGUGAAUUCAUCUCCGGGGGUAGAGCACUGUUUCGGCAAGGGGGUCAUCCCGACUUACCAACCCGAUGCAAACUGCGAAUACCGGAGAAUGUUAUCACGGGAGACACACGGCGGGUGCUAACGUCCGUCGUGAAGAGGGAAACAACCCAGACCGCCAGCUAAGGUCCCAAAGUCAUGGUUAAGUGGGAAACGAUGUGGGAAGGCCCAGACAGCCAGGAUGUUGGCUUAGAAGCAGCCAUCAUUUAAAGAAAGCGUAAUAGCUCACUGGUCGAGUCGGCCUGCGCGGAAGAUGUAACGGGGCUAAACCAUGCACCGAAGCUGCGGCAGCGACGCUGAUGCGUUGUUGGGUAGGGGAGCGUUCUGUAAGCCUGUGAAGGUGUGCUGUGAGGCAUGCUGGAGGUAUCAGAAGUGCGAAUGCUGACAUAAGUAACGAUAAAGCGGGUGAAAAGCCCGCUCGCCGGAAGACCAAGGGUUCCUGUCCAACGUUAAUCGGGGCAGGGUGAGUCGACCCCUAAGGCGAGGCCGAAAGGCGUAGUCGAUGGGAAACAGGUUAAUAUUCCUGUACUUGGUGUUACUGCGAAGGGGGGACGGAGAAGGCUAUGUUGGCCGGGCGACGGUUGUCCCGGUUUAAGCGUGUAGGCUGGUUUUCCAGGCAAAUCCGGAAAAUCAAGGCUGAGGCGUGAUGACGAGGCACUACGGUGCUGAAGCAACAAAUGCCCUGCUUCCAGGAAAAGCCUCUAAGCAUCAGGUAACAUCAAAUCGUACCCCAAACCGACACAGGUGGUCAGGUAGAGAAUACCAAGGCGCUUGAGAGAACUCGGGUGAAGGAACUAGGCAAAAUGGUGCCGUAACUUCGGGAGAAGGCAC
rnacentral:rRNA from 1 species